rnacentral:rRNA from 1 species
AUUGAACGCUGGCGGCAUGCCUUACACAUGCAAGUCGAACGAGUGGCGGACGGGUGAGUAAUAUCUGGGAAACUGCCCGAUGGAGGGGGAUAACUACUGGAAACGGUAGCUAAUACCGCAUACCAUCGGAUGUGCCCAGAUGGGAUUAGCUAGUAGGUGGGGUAACGGCUCACCAAGGCGACGAUCCCUAGCUGGUCUGAGAGGAUGACCAGCCACACUGGAACGGAGACACGGUCCAGACUCCUACGGGAGGCAGCAGUGGGGAAUAUUGCACAAUGGGCGAAAGCCUGAUACAGCCAUGCCGCGUGUAUGAAGAAGGCCUUCGGGUUGUAAAGUACUUUCAGCGAGGAGGCGUUACCUGAAGAAGAAGCACCGGCUAACUCCGUGCCAGCAGCCGCGGUAAUUC